CCAUGGAGAGGUUAUUUUUGCACCGUUCAACGUUUAACCGUCUGUCACUUAUUAACAAAAGUUUUAUGAUUCGUAUUUUUAUUGUUAUUAGAUGAUAAAUCAUGAAUAUUAUUUUAUGUGUGACUAUUUUUUUAACUUUUACAUAAAGUUUUCAAAUAAACAAACGGUCAAAUGUUGGAUACGAAAAUCC
rnacentral:pre_miRNA from 1 species